ACAUCUGUUCUACACUGAUGCCCUUGGUGGUCAAAAACAUUUGCAUAAUAAAUGACAUUAUUAUUAAUUGUACAAUAAUUAAAUCAUGUUAUAGUAGAUCAUCAUUUUACACUCCGUAUUUUUAAACCAUGCACAGACACAUGCAGGCACCAGAUACAUGCUCUUUCAUUUUUUUGUCUUUUGCUAAUGAAUAGGUACGAUAUAUUGUAGAUUACAGUACAAACUAGAUUGCAUUUCCUGCAGAAACUGCGAGUGUGAUUGCAGUGCUAGCUGGUAUCUGUGGACGUUGCUAUGGUGUUGCUAAGGUGUUGCUAGGUGGGCUUUAUCCAAUAGCUUCUCCAUACAUCAAAAAUUGCAUCGUACACGGGCGGCAAAAUUCUCCCCAUUCAUUUUCAGUGGGCAAAAAAACCCGCACAUUUCCGAAGUUUUUUACAAAAAGUCCGAUCGGAAAGCUGUAUACAAGCACACCAUUCCCGAUAAGGAUGCACAUUUUAUCAUUGGGACAGAGUCGAUAUCUCAAAAAACUUCCAACCGGACAAAAACGGGUGCAAUAAUAGUAAUAACUAGAUUGCAGUUCCUGCAGAAACUGCGGGUGUGAUUGCCGUGCUGGCUGGUAUCUGUGGUGGUUGCUAAGUGGUUGCUAAGGUGUUACUAUGGUAUCUGGGGUGGUUGCUAAGGCGUUGCUAGGCGGUUGCUAAGGUGUUGCUAUGGUAUCCGGGGUGGUUGCUAGGUGGUUGCUAAGUUGUUGCUAGGCGGUUGCUAAGCUGUUGCUAUGGUAUCUGGGGUGGUUGCUAAGGUGUUGCUAGGUGGUUGCUAGGGUGUUGCUAGGCGGUUGCUAAGGUGUUGCUAUGGUAUCCGGGGUGGUUGCUAAGGUGUUGCUAGGCGGUUGCUAAGGUGUUGCUAUGGUAUCUGGGGUGGUUGCUAAGGUGUUGCUAGGUGGUUGCUAAGGUGUUGCUAGGUGGUUGCUAAGGUGUUGCUAUGGUAUCCGGGGUGGUUGCUAAGGUGGUUGCUAAGGUGUUGCUAGGCGGUUGCUAAGGUGUUGCUAUGGUAUCCGGGGUUGUUGCUAAGGUGUUGCUAGGUGGUUGCUAAGGUGUUGCUAGGUGGUUGCUAAGGUGUUGCUAUGGUAUCCGGGGUGGUUGCUAUGGUGUUGCUAAGUGGUUGGUAGGUCACUCCUAAGCAGUUGCUAGGUGGUUGCUAAGGUGUUGCUAUGGUAUCCGUGGUGGUUGCUAAGGUGUUGCUAGGGUGUUGCUAGGCGGUUGCUAAGGUGUUGUUAUGGUAUCCGUGGUGGUUGCUAAGGUGUUGCUAAGUGGUUGCUAAGAUGUUGCUAGGUGGUUGCUAAGGUGUUGCUAGGUGGUUGCUAGGCUGUUGCUAUGGUAUCCGGGGUGGUUGCUAAGGGGUUGCUAGAUGGUUGCUAGGUGGUUGCUAAGGUGUUGCUAGGCGGUUGCUAAGGUGUUGCAAUGGUAUCCGGGGUGGUUGCUACGGUGUUGCUAGGUGGUUGCUAAGUUGUUGCUAUGCGGUUGCUAAGGUGUUGCUAUGGUAUCUGGGGUGGUUGCUAAGGUGUUGCUAGGUGGUUGCUAGGGUGUUGCUUGGUGGUUGCUAAGAUGUUGCUGUGGUAUCCGGGGUGGUUGCUAAGGUGUUGCUAGGUGGUUGCUAAGGUGUUACUAUGGUAUCUGGGGUGGUUGCUAAGGUGUUGCUAGGUGGUUGCUAGGGUGUUGCUAGGCGGUUGCUAAGGUGUUGCUAUGGUAUCCGGGGUGGUUGCUAAGGUGUUGCUAGGUGGUUGCUAGGUGGUUGCUAGGGUGUUGCUAGGCGGUUGCUAAGGUGUUGCUAUGAUAUCCGGGGUGGUUGCUAAGGUGUUGCUAUGGUAUCCGGGGUGGUUGCUAAGGUGUUGCUAGGUGGUUGCUAAGGUGUUGCUAGGUGGUUGCUAGGGUGUUGCUAUGGUAUCCGGGGUGGUUGCUAAGGGGUUGCUAGAUGGUUGCUAGGUGGUUGCUAAGGUGUUGCUAGGCGGUUGCUAAGGUGUUGCAAUGGUAUCCGGGGUGGUUGCUACGGUGUUGCUAGGUGGUUGCUAAGUUGUUGCUAGGCGGUUGCUAAGGUGUUGCUAUGGUAUCUGGGGUGGUUGCUAAGGUGUUGCUAGGUGGUUGCUAGGGUGUUGCUUGGUGGUUGCUAAGAUGUUGCUGUGGUAUCCGGGGUGGUUGCUAAGGUGUUGCUAGGUGGUUGCUAAGGUGUUACUAUGGUAUCUGGGGUGGUUGCUAAGGUGUUGCUAGGUGGUUGCUAGGGUGUUGCUAGGCGGUUGCUAAGGUGUUGCUAUGGUAUCCGGGGUGGUUGCUAAGGUGUUGCUAGGUGGUUGCUAGGUGGUUGCUAGGGUGUUGCUAGGCGGUUGCUAAGGUGUUGCUAUGAUAUCCGGGGUGGUUGCUAAGGUGUUGCUAUGGUAUCCGGGGUGGUUGCUAAGGUGUUGCUAGGUGGUUGCUAAGGUGUUGCUAGGUGGUUGCUAGGGUGUUGCUAUGGUAUCCGGGGUGGUUGCUAAGGUGUUGCUAGGUGGUUGCUAAGGUGUUGCUAUGGUAUCCGGGGUGGUUGCUAAGGUGUUGCUAGGUGGUUGCUAAGGUGUUGCUAGGUGGUCGCUAAGGUGUUGCUAUGGUAUCCGGGGUGGUUGCUAAGGUGUUGCUAGGUGGUUGCUAGGGUGUUGCUAGGCGGUUGCUAAGGUGUUGCUAUGGUAUCCGGGGUGGUUGCUAAGGUGUUGCUAGGUGGUUGCUUGGGUGUUGCUAUGGUAUCCGGGGUGGUUGCUAAGGUGUUGCUAGGUAGUUGCUAGGUGGUUGCUAAGGUGUUGCUAGGCGGUUGCUAAGGUGUUGCUAUGGUAUCCGGGGUGGUUGCUAAGGUGUUGCUGGGUGGUUGCUAAGGUGUUGCUAGGCGGUUGCUAAGGUGUUGCUAUGGUAUCCGGGGUGGUUGCUAAGAUGUUGCUAGGUGGUUGCUAAGUUGUUGCUAGGCGGUUGCUAAGGUGUUGCUAUGGUAUCCGGGGUGGUUGCUAAGGUGUUGCUAGGUGGUUGCUAGGUGGUUGUAUACAAGCCCACCAUUUCCGAUAAGGACGCACGUUUUGUCUUUUGA